UCCAUAUUAGUAUUCGUUCUUUUCUAUUUUAUUCUUCACCUUCGGAGCUCGCUUUCUCUUCUUCCUUUUUGCUGCUAUGACGGAGUUCAAGAGGCUCUCGGAGAGCGAGGACCUCAUCCAAAUCAUGCAUAUUAGCAUCCACUCACAUUCGCAGCUUGGACCUCGACUUUACUCUAGAGGUCCGUAUUGUCUUCGAGAGCAUGGUCGACCAU
rnacentral:lncRNA from 1 species